GAUGAACGCUGGCGGCGUGCCUAAUACAUGCAAGUCGAGCGAACAGACGAGGAGCUUGCUCCUCUGAUGUUAGCGGCGGACGGGUGAGUAACACGUGGAUAACCUACCUAUAAGACUGGGAUAACUUCGGGAAACCGGAGCUAAUACCGGAUAACAUGUUGAACCGCAUGGUUCAACAGAGAAAGACGGUCUUGCUGUCACUUAUAGAUGGAUCCGCGCCGCAUUAGCUAGUUGGUAAGGUAACGGCUUACCAAGGCAACGAUGCGUAGCCGACCUGUGAGGGUGAUCGGCCACACUGGAACUAGGAAACGGUCCAGACUCCUACGGGAGGCAGCAGUAGGGAAUCUUCCGCAAUGGGCGAAAGCCUGACGGUGCAACGCCGCGUGAGUGAAGAAGGUCUUCGGAUCGUAAAAGUCUGUUAUUAGGGAAGAACAAAUGUGUAAGUAACUAUGCACGUCUUGACGGUACCUAAUCAGAAAGCCACGGCUAACUACGUG
rnacentral:rRNA from 1 species